rnacentral:rRNA from 1 species
CAGCCGCGGUAAAACGUAGGAGGCAAGCGUAUCCGAAUUUACUGGGCGUAAAGCGCGUGCAGGCGGUUCGAUAAGUUGGAUGUGAAAGCUCCUGGCUCAACUGGGAGAGGUCGUUCAAUACUGUCGAACUCGAGGAUGGUAGAGGGAGGUGGAAUUCCCGGUGUAGUGGUGAAAUGCGUAGAUAUCGGGAGGAACACCAGUGGCGAAGGCGGCCUCCUGGGCCAUUCCUGACGCUCAGACGCGAAAGCUAGGGGAGCGAACGGGAUUAGAAACCCCGGUAGUCCUAGCCGUAAACGAUGUGGACUUGGCGUCGGUGGGGUAAAACCUGUCGGUGCCGUAGCUAACGCGUUAAGUCCACCGCCUGGGGACUACGGCCGCAAGGUUAAAACUCAAAGGAAUUGACGGGUCCCCGCACAAGCAGCGGAGCGUGUGGUUUAAUUCGUUGCUACGCGAAGAACCUUACCCAGGCUUGACAUACAGGUGGAGGGAUCCGAAAGGUGACCGCCCUUCGG